rnacentral:rRNA from 1 species
CAGUCGCCACGGUAAUACGGAGGGCGCGAGCGUUACCCGGAUUUACUGGGCGUAAAGGGCGUGUAGGCGGCCUGGGGCGUCCCAUGUGAAAGGCCACGGCUCAACCGUGGAGGAGCGUGGGAUACGCUCAGGCUAGAGGGUGGGAGAGGGUGGUGGAAUUCCCGGAGUAGCGGUGAAAUGCGCAGAUACCGGGAGGAACGCCGAUGGCGAAGGCAGCCACCUGGUCCACUUCUGACGCUGAGGCGCGAAAGCGUGGGGAGCAAACCGGAUUAGAUACCCCGGUAGUCCCUGUCUCUUAUAC